rnacentral:rRNA from 1 species
GACGAACGCUGGCGGCGUGCCUAAUACAUGCAAGUCGAACGCAUUUUCUUUCACCGUAGCUUGCUACACCGAAAGAAAAUGAGUGGCGAACGGGUGAGUAACACGUGGGUAACUUGCCCAUCAGCGGGGGAUAACACUUGGAAACAGGUGCUAAUACCGCAUAAUUCCAUUUACCGCAUGGUAGAUGGAUGAAAGGCGCUUUUGCGUCACUGAUGGAUGGACCCGCGGUGCAUUAGCUAGUUGGUGGGGUAACGGCCUACCAAGGCUGCGAUGCAUAGCCGACCUGAGAGGGUGAUCGGCCACACUGGGACUGAGACACGGCCCAGACUCCUACGGGAGGCAGCAGUAGGGAAUCUUCGGCAAUGGACACAAGUCUGACCGAGCAACGCCGCGUGAGUGAAGAAGGUUUUCGGAUCGUAAAACUCUGUUGUUAGAGAAGAACAAGGAUGAGAGUGGAAAGUUCAUCCCUUGACGGUAUCUAACCAGAAAGCCACGGCUAACUACGUG